rnacentral:lncRNA from 10 species
CAAGACUCUGUUUCAAAAAAAAAUAGUCUUGGCCCUUUGAGUUUGACAAGAGGCUAGCUGGAUCCUCACUGGAGACUAGCGUUUCAUUUGUGUCAAGUGAAAUGGAGUAGUACCGAAAAGGUCGGAGAUCUGGGGCUUCGUCAAGUACACAGAACACAUUUGAAAACUGUUCCUGUACCUGCCUGAUAGUAAACAUGAUGUGCAUAUGGCUCUGUCUGGGCUGAGACUUGCUUCCAUCAUGCCAUGAUGUUUGGGUCAGGACAUCUGUGGACCUCAUCUGUUAUCUACCAACGAUUAUAAACGGACAAAUUGCCUUAAGUUGGUUUCACAGUAUUUUGUUUACAUCCCACUUCAGAGAAAAUCCCUCCAGCAAAUAUACCUGCAUCUCCUUCCUUCCUCCGUGAGGGAAAAGUCCAGGUGUGGGAGUUGGGGAAGAGUCACCUCUGUCCUCUCUCCAGGUUUCCCACUAGCUGGAGGAAACAUCUCCCUCCUUUCUUUAAUUUACAGGUUCAUUUCCUGAGGCUCCUUUCUGGCUUUCUCACAGAGAGUAGCGUGUUUUCCACACAAUGUGUGUUUGCUAAAGAGACCUGCAAGUUUUUCCAAGCUAGAUAGUAACACAUAGGCAAUUCACUUUUUGAAAACGACUGAUACAAAAUGCGUAAAACAACAAUAUCCUUUAAAAUAUAAGGGCUGGGCACGAUGGAUACUAUUUAAUGAAUUAAAAAAUCUUCUAUUAUUGGUUUCCUGAGUGUUAUUACAUUAACAGGUAUUGAAUUUUUUCAGGUGCUUUUUUGCAUAUUGAGAUGAUUACAUGAUUAUUCUUUUAGUCUGUUCAUGUAAAAUUUGUGUUGAUUGACUUUCAAAUGUUAUACUAAUCUUGCAUUACUAGAAUAAACCUGGCAUUACUGAGCAAGGUGUGAAGUCUUUUUGGGGUAUAUUGCCAGAUUUGCUUUGUUAAUAUUUUGUUGAGAAUAUUUAUAUCCAAGCUCAUUAAAGAGGUCGUCCAACAAUUUUCUCUUUUUGCAAUGUCUGGUUUUGAGUCUCGAUAUCAGGAUUUUGCCCACCUCAUAAAACAUGUUGGAAUAUAUUAACUUUUCCUUUUUUUUUUCUUUUUUGAGACAGAGUCUUGCUCUGUCGCCCAGGCUGGAGUGCAGUGGCGCGAUCUCAGCUCACUGCAACCUCCGUCUCCCAGGUUCAAGCAAUUCUCCUACCUCAGCCUUCCGAGUAGCUGGGAUUAUAGGCAUGAGCCACCAUACCUAGCUAAUUUUUGUAUUUUUAGGAGAGAUGGCGUUUCACCAUGUUGGUCAUGAACCUCUAUCGUUUUAAAAAAUUUCUGAAGAAUAUUAAUAUUUUUCUUUCUUCAAUAUUUUGAGUCAUUCACUAGUAAAGCCAUCUGGACAUGGAGUUUUCUUUGUAGAACGGUUUUAAUUACAAAUCUAACCUACAGGACUAUUCAGAUUUUAUUCUUUCUUCUCAUCUCAUAUUUAUUUACUUGUAUUUUCCAAAGCCUCUGCUGAUUUCAUCUAAAUUAUUCAAAUUAUUGUGCAAAGAUAGUUACAACAUCGUAUUAUCUUCUAUUGUUGUAGGGUCUGUAGCAAUAUUCUCAUUUUAAUUCCUGACAUUGGUAAUUCAUUUUUUUCCUCUUGAGAGUUUACUAAAAUUUUUUUGUUUUAGAAUAAUUUCAGAGUCACAGAAAAGUUCUGAAGAUACUACAAAACGUUUCCAUAUACCUCUCACCCAAUUUGUUUAUCCAAUACAUUUGUCAAAACUAAGAAAACAACAUUGAUACAUUGCUAUUAAUAAACUCCAGACUUUACUCAUAGUUCACCAGAUAUUUUCAUUAGUGAUCUUUGUUUCUUCCAGGAUCCAAUCCAGAAUACUGUAUUGUGAUUAGUUAUUACUUUCUUAGGCUUUCCUUGUGUUUCAUGACCUUGAUAGUUUUGAAGAGGACUGGUCAGAUAUUUUGUAGAAUGUAUUUCAGAUUGGGUUGUCUUGUAUUUUUCUCAUUAUAGGACUGGGGUGAUGGGUUAUUGGAAGGAAUACCAGAGGUGAUGUGCCGUUCUCAUCACAUCGUAUCAAGGGGUACAUACUACUUGCAUGACACCAUUGGUGAUGUUAACCUUCAUCACUCGGUUCAAGUAGUAUCUGCCAGGUUGCUUUACUGUGACGUUACUAUUUUUGCCUCUCCAUAUUUUAUUUUUUGGAAGUACAUCACUAAGUCCAACCACACUCCAAAGUUGAGGGAGGGCAGCAGAGGAGGAUAAGAUUCACUUCCUAGAAUGGAAAGAAUCUACACACAUUAUUUAUAAUUCUUCUUUCCCACUUAUUAAUUUAUUUAGACAUUUAUUUAUAUCAGUAUGGAUGGAUACAGAGCAAAACAGGAAAGGGUGGAGAAGGGAUCUGAAAGUAAAGAGGCAACUGACUGGCACUAGGGCUAAGCCAAUAUUACUUGUUUUCUAGUUUCUUUGAGAUUCUGAGCCCAGAGUCUGGACUAAUGUGUCUGUUGGAUGAUUAGAUAUGUGGCAAACUGAUGUUCUGUGUCAUCCAGCUUUGAGACUAAGAACAGAAAUGGCCUAUUGUGUUAUAGUAUGUGGCAAAUGCAUGGGUGACACAGGAAGAGAAACUGAUUCCUCUUUCAGGAGCACAUUAAAUUAAGAAAAAUGAAGACACAGAAAACAGCUUAUAUGAUACAUAUGCCACACACCCUUCUUGUCAUUGUCCAAAUGCAGCACAGAGAACCUUGACCCAGUGCUGACGGGAGUAGUUCAGCACUCAGCUCUCAGGAUACUUGGGGGAGUCAAGAACAGUGGAGGGAUGGGGGAUGGAAGUGAAGAAAAGUAACUUGUAAGUGACAACCAAUGAAUUAAAAAUAUAGCUUUGUAUGUAUCCCCAGAGCUAAGCAGUGCCUGGCACAGAGCAGCAGCUUGGUAAAUAUUUGCUGAAUAAAUGAAUGUCUUAGGGAUUUGCUCAAACAAGGAGUAAGAUUUCUGUGUAUUUGGACUUUAAAUAAGCCUCAAGCAAAUAAAUGCAUCUUUCUAGAAGUGAACAGACCUAAAAGGUUUAUGAUGUUGAAAUCAUAAGGGAAGACCGAGCUGUAAUUCCCUGAUUAGGACAUCAGAUUUGAGGAUGUGGGGGUGGGUGGUGAAGCUCUAGUUUAUUGAUACCAAGAAACCAGUGGGCAGUUCCCAAGCAGAGUGCCCUUUGUCAGCUUAGAAACAUCUAAACUUGUCCUGAUGUUGCUGUCAGCUGGCUUGAGGGGUGGGGGGCAGAUUCCAGCCUAUUUUAGGGGUGUUAGGAAAGAGAUUCCUGGUCAGUAUCUCACAGGUAGGUGCUGGCACCUGGAUGAGAAAGAGAGCUGAGACAUACCCAUCUUAGAGGGCUCAAUAGCCCUCUAAGUCCAAUAGUCCAAUGACUUUGUGGCUAUGAGUUAGCUGAAACCCUCAGUGAUAACAAACAAAAUCCACAUAGGUGUUCUCACAGACUGGAAGCUCACAGUUAUAAACAAUCAGAUAAAGGUUGUGGGGACAGGAAGGGAAGGCUGCUUCCUCAUCACCUCUGGGCCACGGGCAAACCAAACACCUCCACAUUGCUCCCUUUCUUAACUAAGCUGACCCCUCCCACUCUUUCUAAUUUUAUUUACAAUCGAUAUUUUAUUUAUAAAUAUUUCUAAUAUCUGUCUAAUUCACUCAGAUAAUCUAACAGAAAGCUCUUAGAAUCACAGAACAUUAGACUUGCAGGAAACAGUAGAAAUUAUCUAGUUCAACCUCCUUAUUUUGUAGGUGAGGAAAGUGAAGCCCAGGAGGGCAAUGCUUAGCUCAAGGGCAUGUUUCGUUAGAGUCAACCUAGGACUGUAACCUCAGUGCUAACGCCCAGUAGAAAGCCAUCUCUGUUAUUCUGGUGCUGCUCCUCCACCUUGAGUAACCUCAGAGUGGAUGCAACAGCCAGACCGCAGGCUGACCUACCUUUCCACCUGCGGAAGCUCAGGAACUGACAGUGGAAAACUUAACAACAAUAAAAAAUAAAAACGGGGCCGGGCGCGGUGGCUCCCGCCUGUAAUCCCAGCACUUUGGGAGGCCAAGGCAGGCAAAUCACGAGGUCAGGAGAUCGAGACCAUCCUGGCUAACAUGGCGAAACCCCGUCUCUACUAAAAACACAAAAAAUUAGCCGGGCGUGGUGAUGGGCGCCUGUAGUUCCAGCUACUUGGGAGGCUGAGGCAGGAGAAUCACUUGGACCCGGGAGGCGGAGCUUGCAGUGAGCCGAGAUCGCGCCACUGCACUCCAGCCUGGGCGACAGAGCAAGACUCCGUCUCAAAAAAAAAACAAAAAACGUUGAUUUUUAAAAAUCAUGUAUCUAGCAAAAGGCUUCUUGGGAUUGGGAAAAACAGUAUGUUCCACAGGAAGAUAGAAAUUGUGAACUGGCGAUGACUUAAAGGAUUGAUACCAUUCAACCAGCAACCCUCCCUCUCUUGAUACAAGUUCCCAAAGUAGGCUAUACUCCAUCAUCUCAAAAAAGGUGAUGAGCCCUGUCAUCUACUACCAAAAAUUAAACAGGAUCUAGAAUUUAACAUUGAAUCCCAGUAACAUGGCAACAUAGUAGUAACGCAACAUUAAAAUGCCCUCUGAGAAUGAACAAACCUCACAACAUCAAAACCCAGGUACCGCUUAAGGCUUAACAAAGAAGCCGUGGCGGUCGCCAUCUUGGAUACCACGCGCCGGGAAUACAGCUCCUCAAGUGACUGAGUGAUGAAAACCGCAAACUCGGCCAGGUGGUGGCUCACGCCUGUCAUCCCAGCACUUUGGGAGGCCGAGGUGGGCGGAUCACCUGAGGUCAGGAGUUCAAGACGAGGCUGGUCAACAUGGUGAAACCCCGUC